CCUUAAAGGUGAGCAGAGAAAGUAGUUUCUUGAGAUGGAAUCCAUUCCAGGUGAAGAUGCUAUGAA
rnacentral:pre_miRNA from 1 species